GAUGAACGCUGGCGGCGUGCCUAAUACAUGCAAGUCGAGCGAACGGACGAGAAGCUUGCUUUUCUGAUGUUAGCGGCGGACGGGUGAGUAACACGUGGAUAACCUACCUAUAAGACUGGAAUAACUUCGGGAAACCGGAGCUAAUACCGGAUAAUAUUUUGAACCGCAUGGUUCAAAAGUGAAAGACGGUCUUGCUGUCACUUAUAGAUGGAUCCGCGCUGCAUUAGCUAGUUGGUAAGGUAACGGCUUACCAAGGCAACGAUGGAUAGCCGACCUGAGAGGGUGAUCGGCCACACUGGAACUGAGACACGGUCCAGACUCCUACGGGAGGCAGCAGUAGGGAAUCUUCCGCAAUGGGCGAAAGCCUGACGGAGCAACGCCGCGUGAGUGAUGAAGGUCUUCGGAUCGUAAAACUCUGUUAUUAGGGAAGAACAUAUGUGUAAGUAACUGUGCACAUCUUGACGGUACCUAAUCAGAAAGCCACGGCUAACUACGUG
rnacentral:rRNA from 1 species